GCCGUGAAUGGUCCAGCCGUCCGCGUUCAGGUCGCGGAACGGCAGUCUGGUUCGAAUCCGGGCCACGGCAC
rnacentral:tRNA from 1 species